AUGCCGAGCGCUGUUCUGGGAAUAAAGACUGCCCGUUACUGUGUGCAUGGUAUUCGCAAAGGAUACACCAAGGGGAAGGUGAAGGUCGGAGUUAACAGAUUUGGUCGUUUUGGGCGCCUGGUCACCAGGGCUGCUUUUAACUCUGGUAAAGUGGAUAUUGUCGCCAUCAAUGAUCCCUUCAUUGACCUCAACUACAUGGUCUACAUGUUCCAGUAUGAUUCCACCCAUGGCAAAUUCCAUGGCACUGUCAAGGCUGAGAACCGGAAGCUUGUCAUCAAUGGAAAUCCCAUCACCAUCUUCCAGGAGCGAGAUCCCUCCAAAAUCAAGUGGGGCGAUGCUGGCACUGAGUACAUGGUGGAGUCCACUGGCGUCUUCACCACCAUGGAGAAGGCUAGCGCUCACUUGCAGGGGGGAGCUAAAAGGGUCAUCAUUAUCUGCCCCCUCUGCUGAUGCCCCCAUGUUCAUGAUGGGCGUGAACUAUGAGAAGUAUGACAGGAGCCUCAAUAUCGUCAGCAAUGGCUCCUGCACCACCAACUGCUUAGCACCCCUGGCCAAGGUCAUCCAUGACAACUUUGGUAUCGUGGAAAGACUCAUGACCACUGUCCACACCAUCACUGCCACCCAGAAGACCGUGGAUGGACCCUCUGGGAAACUGUGGUGUGAUGGCCUUGGGGCUCUCCAGAACAUCACCCCUGCCUCUAUUGGUGCUGCCAAGGCCGUGGGCAAGGUCAUCCCUGAACUGAACAGGAAGCUCACUGGCAUGGCUUUCCGUGUCCCCACUGCCAACGUGUCAGUGGUGGACCUGACCUGCCAUCUGGAAAAACCUGCCAAAUAUGAUGACAUCCAGAAGGUGGUGAAGCAGGCAUCGGAGGGCCCCCUCAAGGGCAUCCUGGGCUACACUGAGCACCAGGUGGUGUCCUCUGACUUCAACAGCGACACUCAUUCUUCCACCUUCGAUGCUGGGGCUGGCAUUGCCCUCAACGACCACUUUGUCAAGCUCAUUUCCUGGUACGACAAUGAAUUUGGCUACAGCAACAGGGUAGUGGACCUCAUGUCCCACAUGUCCUCCAAGGAGUAAGACCCCUGGACCACCAGCCCCUGCAAGAGCA